rnacentral:rRNA from 1 species
ACGAACGCUGGCUGCGUGCUUAACACAUGCAAGUCGAACGCUGAAGCCCGCAGCUUGCUGUGGGUGGAUGAGUGGCGAACGGGUGAGUAACACGUGAGUAACCUGCCCCCGACUUCGGGAUAAGCCCGGGAAACUGGGUCUAAUACCGGAUAUGACCAACGCUCGCAUGAGUGUUGGUGGAAAGUUUUUUCGGUUGGGGAUGGGCUCGCGGCCUAUCAGUUUGUUGGUGAGGUAAUGGCUCACCAAGACGACGACGGGUAGCCGGCCUGAGAGGGCGACCGGCCACACUGGGACUGAGACACGGCCCAGACUCCUACGGGAGGCAGCAGUGGGGAAUAUUGCACAAUGGGGGAAACCCUGAUGCAGCGACGCAGCGUGCGGGAUGACGGCCUUCGGGUUGUAAACCGCUUUCAGCAGGGAAGAAGCCUUGAUCGGUGACGGUACCUGCAGAAGAAGUACCGGCUAACUACGU